AAAAGGAUUCAAGUCAUACAAAGUCUAUUACCAGUCUACAACAGAAUUAAAUUAAAAAUCAAUAAAAAGAAAGGUAUUUGGAAAUUCUUCCAAAUAUCUGGAAACUAAAUAACAUACUUCUCAAUAAUCCACUGACCAAAGAAGAAAUCAAAAGAGAAAAGUUAUAAAGUAUAUUGAAUUUAAUAAAAGUCAAAACACAACAUGUCAGAAUUUGUGAGAUACUGUUAAAGCAGCGCUUGAGGAAAUUUACAGCACAGAACACCUGUAACAGAGAAGAAAGGUCUGAAAUCAGUGACCUCCUUAAGAAACUAGAA